CGUAUCCUACGGGGGGCAGCAGUGAGGAAUAUUGGUCAAUGGGCGAGAGCCUGAACCAGCCAAGUCGCGUGAGGGAAGACGGUGCUAUGGAUUGUAAACCUCUUUUGUCGGGGAGCAAAAGCCGGACGUGUCCGGCUGUGAGAGUACCCGAAGAAAAAGCAUCGGCUAACUCCGUGCCAGCAGCCGCGGUAAUACGGAGGAUGCGAGCGUUAUCCGGAUUUAUUGGGUUUAAAGGGUGCGCAGGCGGACCAUCAAGUCAGCGGUAAAAUCGUGGGGCCCAACCCCAUCCCGCCGUUGAAACUGGG
rnacentral:rRNA from 1 species